rnacentral:rRNA from 1 species
AGCUAACUCUGUGAUGCCGUGUGAACCGCAGGACACAUGAACAUCGACACUUUGAACGCAUAUUGCGGAAAUAAGCUUGUCUUGUUUCCAUAUCUGGCUCAGGGUCGGUUAAACAUCCAUCAGACAGCUUGCUGUUUGCAUUGAGCUGCCGUCUCACAUUUGUGGGGCGCUGCUCCAAGGUAGCCGUACGGAGUUCACAGACUCAACUCUUGGGAACCUACGUGUCCUGGGUUGUCGACGUGGCCGCAUGUGCUUGGCGUGGGACCUGACUGAUUGUCCCGUAAACGCCUGCCAAACCUCACUUUCGACCUGAGAUCAGAUAAGAUUACCCGCCGAAUUUAAGCAUAUCAAU